rnacentral:rRNA from 1 species
GAUGAGCCUGCGUCCGAUUAUUUAGUCCUUGUCGGUGGGGUAACGGCCUACCAAGGGUACGAUCGGUAGCUGGUCUGAGAGGACGAUCAGCCACACUGGAACUGAGACACGGUCCAGACUCCUACGGGAGGCAGCAGUGGGGAAUAUUGCGCAAUGGGCGAAAGCCUGACGCAGCCAACCCGCGUGUGUGAUGAAGGCCUUCGGGUCGUAAAGCACUGUCGUAGGGGAAGAAUCAAUGACGGUACCCUACAAGAAAGCACCGGCUAACCCCGUGCCAGCAGCCGCGGUAAUACGGGGGGUGCAAGCGUUGCUCGGAAUCACUGGGCGUAAAGCGUCCGCAGGUGGGUGUGUGUGUCGGAUGUGAAAGCCCAGGGCUCAACCCUGGAACUGCAUUCGAAACUGCACAUCUUGAGUACGGGAGAGGGAAGCAGAAUUCCUGGUGUAGAGGUGAAAUUCGUAGAUAUCAGGACGAAUACCUGUGGGCGAGAGCGGCUUCCUGGUCCGAUACUGACACUCAUGGACGAAAGCGCGGGGAGCAAACAGGAUUAGAU